rnacentral:ribozyme from 1 species
AUACUUUCAACUUUUCAAAGCAGAAGCGCUCACGUCGUGGCCUUGUCAGAUUCUAAUGAAUCUGCGAAUUCUGCU